UGGGGAAUAUUGGACAAUGGGCGCAAGCCUGAUCCAGCCAUGCCGCGUGAGUGACGAAGGCCUUAGGGUUGUAAAGCUCUUUUGGCGGGGACGAUAAUGACGGUACCCGCAGAAUAAGCCCCGGCUAACUUCGUGCCAGCAGCCGCGGUAAUACGAAGGGGGCUAGCGUUGUUCGGAAUCACUGGGCGUAAAGCGCACGUAGGCGGAUUUGUAAGUCAGGGGUGAAAUCCCGGGGCUCGACCUCGGAACUGCCUUUGAUACUGCAAGUCUCGAGUUCGGGAGAGGUGAGUGGAAUUCCUAGUGUAGAGGUGAAAUUCGUAGAUAUUAGGAAGAACACCAGUGGCGAAGGCGGCUCACUGGCCCGAUACUGACGCUGAGGUGCGAAAGCGUGGGGAGCAAACAGGAUUAGAUACCCCCGUAGUCCCUGAGCGGGCUGGCAAGGCGCAU
rnacentral:rRNA from 1 species